AGUGCAUGUGGUGGAUGCCUUGGCAGUCAGAGGCGAUGAAAGACGUGAUAGCCUGCGAAAAGCUCCGGGGAGGCGGCAAAUAUCCUUUGAUCCGGAGAUGUCUGAAUGGGGGAACCCACCUACUUUAAGGUAGGUAUUGCAACAUGAAUACAUAGUGUUGCAAGGCGAACGAGGGGAAGUGAAACAUCUCAGUACCCUUAGGAAAAGAAAUCAAUUGAGAUUCCCUCAGUAGCGGCGAGCGAACGGGGAUCAGCCCAUUAAGUUAUGUGUGUUUUAGUGGAACGCUCUGGGAAGUGCGAACGUAGAGGGUGAUAUUCCCGUACACGAAAGGGCACACAUAAUGAUGACGAGUAGGGCGAGGCACGUGAAACCUUGUCUGAAUAUGGGGGGACCAUCCUCCAAGGCUAAAUACUCCUGACUGACCGAUAGUGAACCAGUACCGUGAGGGAAAGGCGAAAAGAACCCCUGUGAGGGGAGUGAAAUAGAUCCUGAAACCGCAUGCAUACAAGCAGUGGGAGCACCUUCGUGGUGUGACUGCGUACCUUUUGUAUAAUGGGUCAGCGACUUAUAUUCAGUAGCAAGGUUAACCGUAUAGGGGAGCCGUAGAGAAAUCGAGUCUUAAUAGGGCGUUUAGUUGCUGGGUAUAGACCCGAAACCAGGCGAUCUAUCCAUGAGCAGGUUGAAGGUUGGGUAACACUAACUGGAGGACCGAACCCACUGUCGUUGAAAAGCCAGGGGAUGACUUGUGGAUAGGGGUGAAAGGCUAAUCAAGCCUGGUGAUAGCUGGUUCUCCCCGAAAGCUAUUUAGGUAGCGCCUCGGACGAAUACCAUAGGGGGUAGAGCACUGUUUCGGCUAGGGGGUCAUCCCGACUUACCAAACCGAUGCAAACUCCGAAUACCUAUGAGUACUAUCCGGGAGACAGACUGCGGGUGCUAACGUCCGUAGUCAAGAGGAAAACAAUCCAGACCGCCAGCUAAGGCCCCAAAAUCAUAGUUAAGUGGGAAACGAUGUGGGAAGGCAUAGACAGCUAGGAGGUUGGCUUANNNNNNNNNNNNNNNGAAGCAGCCACCCUUUAAAGAAAGCGUAAUAGCUCACUAGUCGAGUCGGCCUGCGCGGAAGAUGUAACGGGGCUAAAACUAUGUGCCGAAGCUGCGGAUUUGACAUUAGUCAAGUGGUAGGGGAGCGUUCUGUAAGCCGAUGAAGGUGUAUUGAGAAGUNGAAGCAGCCACCCUUUAAAGAAAGCGUAAUAGCUCACUAGUCGAGUCGGCCUGCGCGGAAGAUGUAACGGGGCUAAAACUAUGUGCCGAAGCUGCGGAUGUAUACUUUGUAUACGUGGUAGGGGAGCGUUCUGUAAGCCGAUGAAGGUGUGUUGAGAAGCNNNNNNNNNNNNNNNAUGCUGGAGGUAUCAGAAGUGCGAAUGCUGACGUGAGUAACGACAAAACGGGUGAAAAACCCGUUCGCCGAAAGACCAAGGGUUCCAGUCCAACGUUAAUCGGGGCUGGGUGAGUCGACCCCUAAGGCGAGGCCGAAAGGCGUAGUCGAUGGGAAAAUGGUUAAUAUUCCAUUACUUCUGUGUAAUGCGAUGAGAGGACGGAGAAGGCUAAAUCAGCCUGGCGUUGGUUGUCCAGGUGAAAGGAUGUAGGCAUGUAUCUUAGGCAAAUCCGGGGUACUCUAUGCUGAGAUCUGAUAGCAAGCUGUACUUGUACAGCGAAGUGGUUGAUGCCAUGCUUCCAGGAAAAGUCUCUAAGCUUCAGUUACACAGGAAUCGUACCCGAAACCGACACAGGUGGUCAGGUCGAGUAGACCAAGGCGCUUGAGAGAACUCUGCUGAAGGAACUAGGCAAAAUGGUACCGUAACUUCGGGAGAAGGUACGCUGUUGUUGGUGAUGGAACUCGCUUCCUGAGCUGACGACAGCCGCAGAAACCAGGCCGCUGCAACUGUUUAUUAAAAACAUAGCACUCUGCAAACACGAAAGUGGACGUAUAGGGUGUGAUGCCUGCCCGGUGCUGGAAGGUUAAUUGAUGGGGUUAGCGUAAGCGAAGCUCUUGAUCGAAGCCCCAGUAAACGGCGGCCGUAACUAUAACGGUCCUAAGGUAGCGAAAUUCCUUGUCGGGUAAGUUCCGACCUGCACGAAUGGCAUAAUGAUGGCGGCGCUGUCUCCAGCAGAGGCUCAGUGAAAUCGAAAUCGCUGUGAAGAUGCAGUGUACCCGCGGCUAGACGGAAAGACCCCGUGAACCUUUACUGCAGCUUGACACUGAACUUUGACCUUACUUGUGUAGGAUAGGUGGGAGGCUUUGAAGCUGGAACGCUAGUUCCAGUGGAGCCGUCCUUGAAAUACCACCCUGGUAAUGUUGAGGUUCUAACUCUGUCCCGUGAUCCGGGACGAGGACCGUGUCUGGUGGGUAGUUUGACUGGGGCGGUCUCCUCCUAAAGAGUAACGGAGGAGUACGAAGGUGCGCUCAGCGUGGUCGGAAAUCACGCGUAGAGUAUAAAGGCAAAAGCGCGCUUAACUGCGAGACCCACAAGUCGAGCAGGUACGAAAGUAGGUCUUAGUGAUCCGGUGGUUCUGUAUGGAAGGGCCAUCGCUCAACGGAUAAAAGGUACUCUGGGGAUAACAGGCUGAUACCGCCCAAGAGUUCAUAUCGACGGCGGUGUUUGGCACCUCGAUGUCGGCUCAUCUCAUCCUGGGGCUGAAGCAGGUCCCAAGGGUAUGGCUGUUCGCCAUUUAAAGAGGUACGCGAGCUGGGUUUAGAACGUCGUGAGACAGUUCGGUCCCUAUCUACCGUGGGCGCUGGAAAUUUGAGAGGAUCUGCUCCUAGUACGAGAGGACCAGAGUGGACGAACCUCUGGUGUACCGGUUGUGACGCCAGUCGCAUCGCCGGGUAGCUAUGUUCGGAAGGGAUAACCGCUGAAAGCAUCUAAGCGGGAAGCCUACCUCAAGAUAAGAUUUCCCUAGGACUUUAUGUCCUCUAAAGAGCCGUUCGAGACUAGGACGUUGAUAGGUUGGAUGUGGAAGCAUAGUGAUAUGUGAAGCUGACCAAUACUAAUUGCUCGUGAGGCUUGACU
rnacentral:rRNA from 1 species